rnacentral:rRNA from 1 species
CUCAACCUGAACUCAGUCGUGAUUACCCGCUGAACUUAAGCAUAUCAUUUAGCGGAGGAAAAGAAACUAAAAAGGAUUCCCUUAGUAACGGCGAGUGAAACGGGAAGAGCCCAGCGCCGAAUCGAUCAGUCUUUGGCUGCUUCGAAAUGUGGCGUAUAGGUGUAAGUUUCCAGCAGUGUCGUAUGUCCGAAGUCCUUACGAUUGAGGCCAUAAACCAGAGAGGGUGCGAGCCCCGUUCUGGAUAGCGGCACUGUUGGUUCGCUUGCUCCUUGGAGUCGGGUUGCUUGAAAGUGCAGCCUAAAGUGGGUGAUAAACUUCAUCUAAGCUAAAUAUCGACUCGAUUGCGAUAGCGAACAAGUACCGUGAGGGAAAGUUGCAAAGG